AGGCCAACAGGAGCGCAAAGAAAGGGGAGAAGGAAGCUUUAUUGCCGCCAUUUCACGUGAAAGCAGCGCGGAACGAGCAACGUCAAGGGCCAAACGAUUAGAAGAAAUCAGGCAGAAUUUGAAUUACAUUCGCCAACUGGAGACUUAGAAACCAAAGCAGCCGUUAUAACGAACGGUAGGGCCUAGCAGUUUGUCUUUUAAGUGGCCUUUGCUGUUGCUUGGAGAAGAAGAAAAUGAGCUACGGAAGGCCGCCACCAGACGUGGAGGGAAUGACCUCCCUCAAAGUGGACAACCUGACUUACCGAACUUCGCCGGAGACCUUGCGUCGAGUUUUUGAGAAGUAUGGCCGUGUGGGGGAUGUGUAUAUCCCCCGGGAUAGGUACACCAAGGAGAGCCGCGGCUUCGCCUUCGUACGGUUCCUCGACAAGCGCGACGCCGAGGACGCCAUGGACGCUAUGGACGGCGCGCUGCUCGACGGGCGGGAGCUUCGGGUGCAGAUGGCCCGCUACGGACGACCACCGGACUCAAUGUACAGCCGGAGAGGUGCUCCGCCACGCAGAUACGGAGGGUACGGUCGCAGAAGCAGGAGCCGGUCAGCCAGCCCCCGCCGCCGCAGACGAAGCCGCAGCCGCUCUAGAAGCAGAAGCCGGUCCCGAUCCAGGAGCCGCCACCACUACAGCCGCUCUAGGUCCCGCUCCUACUCCAGAUCCAGGUCAAGGUCCAGAUCCAAGUCCAAGUCUAAGUCCAAAUCCAAGUCCAGAACCCCCAGACGGAGCAAGUCAAAGUCUCCCUCCAGGUCUCGCUCCCGCUCCAGAUCCAAGUCAAGAAGUCGAACCCCGCCUUCCAACAGAGGGUCAAAAUCCAGGUCCAGGUCCAAAUCCAAGAGUAGACCUAAAUCACCAGAGGACAACGGAGCCGAGUCUUAACCCAAACUUGGACGCAAUAUGACGAUCUCAGAUGAUUGAGCCUUUGCUGAGGACAUCAGGAAGAGUCUCACAUGGAGCAAGUGGACUCCACUAUUACCACUGAAUGCAGACUGAAAGGCGCAGUUGUGUAGCAGUUGAGUAAUGCUGGUUAGCUGUUAAGAUGCGGUGCAGUGCGGUGGUGACAUGGUGUGGCGUGUUGCGGUGCUGAGUGCCCGGUGCUGUUCCGGGGCUCGACCCUCCGCUGCUGUUUGCCGGUUUGUAAGCUCACAGGUGUGGCAGAUCAUCCAUCCUCUCCUGUCUUGUGAUCUCUUCUUCCCUCCAUGUGCUGUACAGAUUCUCUUCUCCCUUUUCUCUUUAUUCUCCCUACUUUCCUUUUCCCCUCUCUGUGGUUCAUCCACUGUUGAAAACUGGCCUUGCUCGCUUUUUGAAAUUGGGUCCAUUGGGACUCCUAGUGAAGGGUUUAAACGGCAGUUCUGACUGCUUAAUGAAUCAUUUUUGUGUAUUGCAUUCCUCUGUGAACCUCUCAAAUGUCUUGUUAUUGCUUCAGGUGAAUGCUAAUAAACAUUUUUGUCUUAAAUAA